GCGAGUCAUUGUAGCAAUACAAGGCAGACGGCUCAGUAACGCGUAGUCAAUCUACCCUAUGGACGGGAAUAACCUCGGGAAACUGAGAAUAAUGCCCGACAGAACAUUAUACCUGGAACGGUUUAUGUUUCAAAUGAUUUAUCGCCGUAGGAUGGGACUGCGGCCUAUCAGUUUGUUGGUGAGGUAAUGGCCCACCAAGACUAUUACAGGUACGGGCUCUGAGAGGAGUAGCCCGGAGAUGGGUACUGAGACACGGACCCAGGCCCUAUGGGGCGCAGCAGGCGAGAAAACUUUGCAAUGUGCGAAAGCACGACAAGGUUAAUCCGAGUGGUUUCUGCUAAAGAAACCUUUUGCUAGUCCUAGAAACACUAGUGAAUAAGGGGUGGGCAAGUUCUGGUGUCAGCCGCCGCGGUAAAACCAGCACCUCAAGUGGUCAGGAUGAUUAUUGGGCCUAAAGCAUCCGUAGCUCGUUUUGUAAGUUUUCGGUUAAAUCCAUACGCUUAACGUAUGGGCUGCCGGGAAUACUGCAUAACUAGGAAGUGGGAGAGGUAGACGGUACUCGGUAGGAAGGGGUAAAAUCCUUUGAUCUAUUGAUGACCACCUGUGGCGAAGGCGGUCUACCAGAACACGUUCGACGGUGAGGGAUGAAAGCUGGGGGAGCAAACCGGAUUAGAUACCCGGGUAGUCCCAGCUGUAAACUAUGCAAACUCAGUGAUGCAUUGGCUUGUGGCCAAUGCGGUGCUGCAGGGAAGCCGUUAAGUUUGCCGCCUGGGAAGUACGUACGCAAGUAUGAAACUUAAAGGAAUUGGCGGGGGGAGCACCACAAGGGGUGAAGCCUGCGGU
rnacentral:rRNA from 1 species